AUUGAACGCUGGCGGCAGGCCUAACACAUGCAAGUCGAACGGUAACAGGAAGCAGCUUGCUGCUUUGCUGACGAGUGGCGGACGGGUGAGUAAUGUCUGGGAAACUGCCUGAUGGAGGGGGAUAACUACUGGAAACGGUAGCUAAUACCGCAUAACGUCGCAAGACCAAAGAGGGGGACCUUCGGGCCUCUUGCCAUCGGAUGUGCCCAGAUGGGAUUAGCUAGUAGGUGGGGUAACGGCUCACCUAGGCGACGAUCCCUAGCUGGUCUGAGAGGAUGACCAGCCACACUGGAACUGAGGCACGGUCCAGACUCCUACGGGAGGCAGCAGUGGGGAAUAUUGCACAAUGGGCGCAAGCCUGAUGCAGCCAUGCCGCGUGUAUGAAGAAGGCCUUCGGGUUGUAAAGUACUUUCAGCGGGGAGGAAGGGAGUAAAGUUAAUACCUUUGCUCAUUGACUUACCCGCAGAAGAGCACCGCA
rnacentral:rRNA from 1 species